ACAGGGAUUGCCCUAGUAACGGCGAGUGAAGCGGCAACAGCUCAAAUUUGAAAUCUGGCGUCUUUGGCGUCCGAGUUGUAAUUUGCAGAGGGCGCUUUGGCAUUGGCAGCGGUCCAAGUUCCUUGGAACAGGACGUCACAGAGGGUGAGAAUCCCGUACGUGGUCGCUAGCCUUUACCGUGUAAAGCCCCUUCGACGAGUCGAGUUGUUUGGGAAUGCAGCUCUAAAUGGGAGGUAAAUUUCUUCUAAAGCUAAAUACUGGCCAGAGACCGAUAGCGCACAAGUAGAGUGAUCGAAAGAUGAAAAGCACUUUGGAAAGAGAGUUAAAAAGCACGUGAAAUUGUUGAAAGGGAAGCGCUUGCAGCCAGACUUGCCUGUAGUUGCUCAUCCGGGUUUUUACCCGGUGCACUCUUCUACGGGCAGGCCAGCAUCAGUUUGGGCGGUUGGAUAAAGGUCUCUGUCAUGUACCUCCUUUCGGGGAGAUCUUAUAGGGGAGACGACAUGCAACCAGCCUGGACUGAGGUCCGCGCAUCUGCUAGGAUGCUGGCGUAAUGGCUGUAAGCGGCCCGUCUUGAAACACGGACCAAGGAGUCUAACAUCUAUGCGAGUGUUUGGGUGUCAAGCCCGAGCGCGUAAUGAAAGUGAACGGAGGUGGGAACCUUUCGGGGUGCACCAUCGACCGAUCCUGAUGUCUUCGGAUGGAUUUGAGUAAGAGCAUAGCUGUUGGGACCCGAAAGAUGGUGAACUAUGCUUGAAUAGGGUGAAGCCAGAGGAAACUCUGGUGGAGGCUCGCAGCGGUUCUGACGUGCAAAUCGAUCGUCAAAUUUGGGCAUAGGGGCGAAAGACUAAUCGAACUAUCUAGUAGCUGGUUCCUGCCGAGUUC
rnacentral:rRNA from 1 species